rnacentral:rRNA from 1 species
GACGAACGUUGGCGGCGUGCUUAACACAUGCAAGUCGAACGGAAAGGCCCUGCUUUUGUGGGGUGCUCGAGUGGCGAACGGGUGAGUAACACGUGAGUAACCUGCCCUUGACUUUGGGAUAACUUCAGGAAACUGGGGCUAAUACCGGAUAGGAGCUCCUGCUGCAUGGUGGGGGUUGGAAAGUUUCGGCGGUUGGGGAUGGACUCGCGGCUUAUCAGCUUGUUGGUGGGGUAGUGGCCUACCAAGGCUUUGACGGGUAGCCGGCCUGAGAGGGUGACCGGCCACAUUGGGACUGAGAUACGGCCCAGACUCCUACGGGAGGCGGCAGUGGGGAAUAUUGCACAAUGGGCGGAAGCCUGAUGCAGCAACGCCGCGUGCGGGAUGACGGCCUUCGGGUUGUAAACCGCUUUCGCCUGUGACGAAGCGUGAGUGACGGUAAUGGGUAAAGAAGCACCGGCUAACUACGUGCCAGCAGCCGCGGUGAUACGUAGGGUGCGAGCGUUGUCCGGAUUUAUUGGGCGUAAAGGGCUCGUAGGUGGUUGAUCGCGUCGGAAGUGUAAUCUUGGGGCUUAACCCUGAGCGUGCUUUCGAUACGGGUUGACUUGAGGAAGGUAGGGGAGAAUGGAAUUCCUGGUGGAGCGGUGGAAUGCGCAGAUAUCAGGAGGAACACCAGUGGCGAAGGCGGUUCUCUGGGCCUUUCCUGACGCUGAGGAGCGAAAGCGUGGGGAGCGAACAGGCUUAGAUACCCUGGUAGUCCACGCUGUAAACGGUGGGUACUAGGUGUGGGGUCCAUUCCACGGGUUCCGUGCCGUAGCUAACGCUUUAAGUACCCCGCCUGGGGAGUACGGCCGCAAGGCUAAAACUCAAAGGAAUUGACGGGGCCCCGCACAAGCGGCGGAGCAUGCGGAUUAAUUCGAUGCAACGCGUAGAACCUUACCUGGGUUUGACAUGGAUCGGGAGUGCUCAGAGAUGGGUGUGCCUCUUUUGGGGUCGGUUCACAGGUGGUGCAUGGCUGUCGUCAGCUCGUGUCGUGAGAUGUUGGGUUAAGUCCCGCAACGAGCGCAACCCUUGUUCACUGUUGCCAGCACGUUAUGGUGGGGACUCAGUGGAGACCGCCGGGGUCAACUCGGAGGAAGGUGGGGAUGACGUCAAGUCAUCAUGCCCCUUAUGUCCAGGGCUUCACGCAUGCUACAAUGGCUGGUACAGAGAGUGGCGAGCCUGUGAGGGUGAGCGAAUCUCGGAAAGCCGGUCUCAGUUCGGAUUGGGGUCUGCAACUCGACCUCAUGAAGUCGGAGUCGCUAGUAAUCGCAGAUCAGCAACGCUGCGGUGAAUACGUUCCCGGG